GCCUGGUUAACGAAUAUUGUGUUCUGGUUUUGCUGGGAGAGUCUGCGUUUGUGAGUCCACUUCAGCUUUAUCUGAUUACUUGGCAACGUUAAACUCCAUCAUUCUUCCCUCAGAAGUGCCUGAAGAGAUCUGUCCCAAGUGUGUCCUGAGAGUGUCCAGAGCACUCUUCAUCGCCAAAGGGACAGAUGCAAAAUUGGCUGGCCCACUGAGCGGAGUGCCUCUGUUGCAGAUUCAUUUGGAGUUAUUCCCUUUGCCUAUAAAACCUUGUUCCUGUGGAAGCAGUGACUUACCUACCCCCUGAUUGGUGAAUUUGCAGUUCGAAAGUCUUCUUUUCUCUUCCUCCUGCUGAGUUCUACCUGACUGCAGACAUAUGAAACUUUAUCAUAGACCAGUUUAUGAGGCACAGCCCAGUGGAUCCCUUGGCCAUACAAGUAGAAAUAAAGCUUCUUCUACGAAAUUCUACAUUUGGAACACCAUGGAAGUCAAGUUCCUUGGCAUCUUUGUGGAGGAUAGAAAAAGCAACAAGAGCGGGGUCAGACCUUCCUCAUAAAAACUCUAAGGACUUCAGUUGUAAGAGCCUCCCAAUGUCAGCGUCCAUUAAGAAUGGCUCGUGGAAGCUGGUGUCCUUGACUUAUCACGUUCCUUCUCCUAAAUUGACUGUAGUAGGUACUAUAAUACCUAUACAGUGGGGCCGCACUUUCUCUCAGAUAUUAAGGUAUUGGCCUCUGGCUUCUUCC
rnacentral:lncRNA from 1 species